UGGGGAAUAUUGCACAAUGGGCGCAAGCCUGAUGCAGCGACGCCGCGUGAGGGAUGACGGCCUUCGGGUUGUAAACCUCUUUCACCAGGGACGAAGCGUGAGUGACGGUACCUGGAGAAGAAGCACCGGCCAACUACGUGCCAGCAGCCGCGGUAAUACGGAGGGUGCGGGCGUUGUCCGGAAUUACUGGGCGUAAAGAGCUCGUAGGCGGUUUGUCGCGUCGUCUGUGAAAUUCUGCAACUCAAUUGCAGGCGUGCAGGCGAUACGGGCAGACUUGAGUACUACAGGGGAGACUGGAAUUCCUGGUGUAGCGGUGAAAUGCGCAGAUAUCAGGAGGAACACCGGUGGCGAAGGCGGGUCUCUGGGUAGUAACUGACGCUGAGGAGCGAAAGCGUGGGUAGCGAACA
rnacentral:rRNA from 1 species